AGAACAUGAAGACAUUUUAUAAUUAGGGCCCGAGCACGAAAGUGCCAGGACCCCAACGGUGCCCUGGCACGAAGUGCGAGGAAACCUAUUGUUUUUGUAAGGGUUAUUAUAAUUUUUCUGCUGCAAGAUCGCACUUUUGAGGCACUUUUGAGGCACUUAGGAUGCACGAAAACUCAUGAAAACUGGAAUACAACAUCUUCCUGAGUCUCCUGUCAGCUUUCAUUGCACCUGUUUGGGCAUUCUUAUCAUUCUUUUUGGUAGAUGGAGAUUUGUGACCUCAUGAAUUCCACCUUCAACCUGAGCAGAGGUCUAAUCAGCCAGAAUAACUGAAAACACCCGUGUGGGUGUUCAGAGGACAAACAGGUUUAGCUUAUACAGAGUUUGAACAAAGUGUUCAGAUGUACAACAAAUGAGUAAAGAUCUUCCAGUCCCUUCGGGCUGGUACUAAAUGUGAUUACUACAUUAUGAAAAUGCCCAGUGAUAAGCAGUUUGGUUAUAGCAAGUUCACUCUACUCAACUUUAACCCUUAAAGGGGCCUGUAAAUUGCGAAAUUUAAUCUGAGAUCUGCAAAAACUCUCGUGAGACUCGCUGCCAGACGACCUAUCCUAACCUCAACCAUUCGAGGCAUACGACAUGACACAGGAUGCUGUUGUAACUUGACUCUACAUAUUCCAAUCUGCCCCAAAUUUCACAAGCUGGAUAAGAGUCCCGGCUUAAAGACAUAUUAGUUCCAUUAUUGAAUUAUGGUGAUAGCGCCACCUAGUGGCAACAAGAAAUGGUUGUAUACUGCCACCCACCCUCAUAGAAGUGUCUUUUAAGGAUGCCUCACAGGUUCUCAUUGGGUCAUUUGCAGUGUCACGCGCUCCACGCAGAAAAUAUCCUCUAACUGCUGUGUGCAGUGUCCGACUUUCACUGAAAUGCACGGCAGCAGAUACCCCCGACAUGCGCAAAGGGGCAAGGGCCCGUUCAACGCUUUCUGCAGCUUUAAUAAUUAUUUAUAUUCGUUGCUACAGCAAUAUAAACAUUAUUGAAAAGUGACUCCUACUCUCUCUCUGUAAC